rnacentral:rRNA from 1 species
ACGCACGCUGGCGGCGUGCUUCACCCAUGCCAGUCGCACGGAAAGGCCCUGCUUUUGUGGGGUGCUCGAGUGGCGAACGGGUGAGUAACACGGGAGUAACCUGCCCUUGACUUUGGGAUAACUUCAGGAAACUGGGGCUAAUACCGGAUAGGAGCUCCUGCUGCAUGGGGGGGUUGGAAAGUUUCGGCGGUUGGGGAUGGACUCGCGGCUUAUCAGCUUGUUGGUGGGGUAGUGGCUUACCAAGGCUUUGACGGGUAGCCGGCCUGAGAGGGUGACCGGCCACAUUGGGACUGAGAUACGGCCCAGACUCCUACGGGAGGCAGCAGUGGGGAAUAUUGCACAAUGGGCGGAAGCCUGAUGCAGCAACGCCGCGUGCGGGAUGACGGCCUUCGGGUUGUAAACCGCUUUCGCCUGUGACGAAGCGUGAGUGACGGUAAUGGGUAAAGAAGCACCGGCUAACUACGUG